UACGUAGGGUGCAAGCGUUGUCCGGAAUUAUUGGGCGUAAAGAGCUCGUAGGCGGCUUGUCACGUCGACUGUGAAAACCCGGGGCUCAACUCCGGGCCUGCAGUCGAUACGGGCUGGCUUGAGUGCGGUAGGGGAGACUGGAAUUCCUGGUGUAGCGGUGAAAUGCGCAGAUAUCAGGAGGAACACCGGUGGCGAAGGCGGAUCUCUGGGCCAUUACUGACGCUGAGGAGCGAAAGCGUGGGGAGCGAACAGG
rnacentral:rRNA from 1 species